GUGAGGAAUAUUGGACAAUGGGCGCAAGCCUGAUCCAGCCAUGCCGCGUGCAGGAAGACGCAUCUAUGGUGUGUAAACUGCUUUUGUACGGGAAGAAACACUCCCUCGUGAGGGAGCUUGACGGUACCGUAAGAAUAAGGAUCGGCUAACUCCGUGCCAGCAGCCGCGGUAAUACGGAGGAUCCAAGCGUUAUCCGGAAUCAUUGGGUUUAAAGGGUCCGUAGGCGGUUUAAUAAGUCAGUGGUGAAAGCCCAUCGCUCAACGAUGGAACGGCCAUUGAUACUGUUAGACUUGAAUUACAAGGAAGUAACUAGAAUAUGUAGUGUAGCGGUGAAAUGCUUAGAUAUUACAUGGAAUACCAAUUGCGAAGGCAGGUUACUACUAGUGGAUUGACGCUGAUGGACGAAAGCGUGGGGAGCGAACAGGAUUAGAAACCCGUGUAGUCC
rnacentral:rRNA from 1 species